UAUCCCAUGACUCGCCUACCACUUGUCCCAGCCCCCCCUCAAGCUUUACCUCGUCCAGUACCAGUACUUCCCCUCAAUCACAAAUCCCAAUACCCGAAAAACAGAAUCCUUGGCCACUUAUGACUUUGGGAACUCUGGUCGUGCAACAUCAGUUGAUGCAACAACAUCAUCCCCACCUUUACCUUCAUCCACAAAUACUCGUGACUCAUCCAUUCAACUAGUUCCUGUGCCUAAUUCUCCUGCACCAAACUGCCCAUCUUCUUCCAAUUUACCUGCAGAAGUUCAUGACCUGCCACCUUCUCAUAUUGUUACACGAUCACAAAAUCAGAUUUACAAAUAAAAAAACAUUGAUUAUAUGGCACAAGUUUUGCAAGACCAAACACCCAAUACCUUUGCCCAAGCCAACAAAAUGCAAGAGUGGCGGGCAGCUAUGCAGCAGAGUAUGAUACAUUAAUGAGAAAUCAAACUUGGGAACUCGUUCAUGUGAUCCUUCUAAAAAUUUUGUUGCUUGUAAGUGGUUGUAUCAGAUUAAACGAAAAUUUGAUGGUUCUGUUAAAAGGUAUAAAGGGCGGUUAGUUGCAAAAGGAUUCACACAACGUCCAGGCAUAGAUUAUCAUUCCACUUUCAGUCCUGUGGUCAAGCUAACAACUGUCAGAGUGGUUCUUUCACUUGCUGUUCAAUGUAGCUGGCCUUUGCGCCAACUUGAUGUCAACAACGCCUUUCUUCAAGGCAAUCUUGAUGAGGAAGUUUUCAUGACUCAAACAAUUGGUUUCGAGAAUUUUCAAUUUCCCUCUCAUGUUUGCCGACUUUGCAAGGCUACCUAUGGGUUAAAAUAGGCUCCUCGUGUGUGGAAUCCAAACCAGCUGCUAUACCAAUGAGCUCCUCUACGGUUCUUUCAAAUACAGAUGAUUCCUUGCCUAUUGAUGCCGCUAAAUAUCGACAAAUUGUUGAUUGGGCGGGUGAUGUAAAUGACCGUGUGUCUACAACUGCGUAUAUUCAAUUCUUUGGGAAUAAUUCGGUUAGCUUGUCUUCUAAAAAGCAAACAACUAUUGCUCGGUAGUCUACCAAUGAUAUGGAGCAAUUAGCCUUGGAUUUUACGACAGACUUGGACCGGACCCAACUUUUGCUGCCAACGUCCGACAGAGACCCACGAUAGCUUUUCGGAAAAGGAAUUUCAAGAUGUACGACUUUCAAAAGUGUGACGAGGGCUAAAGACCUGGUCACAAAGUUUGAUAUGGAAAUUUCAUCAUUUAGGGGGUCAAUUUUACAUUUUAAUUAUUUUUUGGAUAUUUUGGAUAUUUUCGUAAUUUUGCAUAGUUUUAUUUCUAUUAUAAAUAGCCUCCCUUGGCUAUU